AUGGGUAAAGGAAAUAAAAGCACAAGACAUCAUCAUAGAUUAUUUUUGCCUUGUUUUCUGAUUGGAAGUUAAAUGGUGGAACAUUCCAGAAUGUAACUAUAGGGGGAGGGCAGAGAAGGCACUAAACAGGCAGAGGAGCCUGGGAAGGCUUCAGCAAGGAAAGGAUGGGAAGGCACUGGAGAAGGAUCCCUAGCUGGUGAUCAAUCUGUGUAGAGCGCUGUCAGAGGUUCUUAUGACAGAUCCCAUCGAAGCCACACAUGCCACAUCUCUGGGACUGCCUGAUUUCCUAGAACAUGAAGUCCCAGGAUUGGAAGCAUAUAUAACUAAGUAACCAAUCUGAUGCUUAAAUUCCUUACUGCCAAUUAAUUGGAGAUAAUUUUCCAAAUUCUUGGUAAAAUUUAUAUUUUUUGGAAGACACAUACUUGGAGGCAUUCACAGGAAAUAUAUGCAUAAGAUGGCCAAGAGCCCUCCAGACCAAAAUAAUGUUAUCAAAGAUGUCCAAGGAUCUGCAAAUAAGAGGCAAGAUUCCUCAGACAGGCUGCACCAGCGUGAAAAAUCUCCUUUCAAGAAACAGACUUCGCUAUUAGUUCUCAAUGCACCAAAAAGUCAGCAGUGGUAGCUCCGCCUCCUCUCCUCCCCCAAAAGAAAUCUUCCUCGACUUACAAUGGAGUUACAUCCUGAUUUGCCCAUCAUACGUUGAAAAUAUCAAAUCACCAAGAAUAAGAGGAUUCAGUCAAAAUUUCUGAGACAAUCUCCUCUGGCUGAGCAAGAGGUGGUCCAAAAGCUUCUGCUUCUUUUGAGUUGCACUUAUGGUGUUGCUUUUUCUCACAGUCGACAGUGGAAGCAACAACGGGUAGGUGUGCUCCAGGAUGUGUGGUUUCAGUGGAUGCUCCUAAUGCAAGCAAAGAAGGGACUGUAAAUAAAGCAGACGUGCAGAUGCUACUACUGUGAGAAGCGCUGGGUCUUUUCCCUAAUGCUCAGUGAAUCCCCAUGACUCCAGGACACUCUUGACUUCCAGCCAAUACAUCACAGUCUUCCCCUGCAAUGGCUACAGAGAGAGGUUAAAAAAAAUAGCCCACAAGAGUGCUCUUUCCUUCUCUCUCUGCUCCUUCAGCUCCAAGAAUAGACUCAUUGACGAAGUGUGUCUCUGUGUGUCUGUCUGUUACCCCAUGAUGCAUGCUGCUUCUUAUCCUGUUCUUGGGCCUUUCCUAGAAACGACCUCAGGCAGAGAACUGAAAAUUAAGCAGAAGGAGAAGGGACUAAAGCUACUUCCCAAGAAUAGUUUCAACAAUAAUUACGGCAGUGACGAACGUGCUGUCUGGGGAAAUGUUUGGGAACCUUCAACCCCUUGCGCACAGGCACACAGUUAGUGAGGGGCGUGCAGCCCAUUCACGGGCUGUCUGAUUCUGACAGCUGAGUUCUUACACAGGGCAUCAUCCUAAGCUCAAAAAUGUCAGUUGGAAAGGAAGAAAUCAGCAUAGCGUUAUGUGCAGAGCGAGUGCCUAUAUCGAUGAGAAUCGGAAAGAGAGCCUCUCCAUGCUUCUCCACCUGCUCCGUGUCCAGGACACUGACCUGUCUCACCUGCUGCAACUCCUAUCUCUUUCUGCACCUGAUGCUCUCCAUCAGGGUUCCAGUAACUCUCCUGUGUCCCUUCAGGCUGGGGUGGAAAUGCUCCCCACCCUGCAUGGCUGCUAUGGCUUCCCUGCGUGCUGCCCACACCUUGAACAUCAUUUCUUCAUUAAACUCUCCUAUGUUACCCAUUUUAAGGCUUCCACCUGUUUCUUGCCAAUACCCUGACUGAUUCACACUUACAAUAUUACAUUACAAAUAGAAAAUCUACAUUGCACCUACAUUCUGACUGUCAAGAAUUUCUAUACCCCGCAAAUACUAUAAAGGUCCUCCCUCCCUCCAUAAAACUUCCCCUCCCACUCUGUCCUUUCUCCAGCAGAUGCCACACACUCCACACUUCACACUCACAGCUUUGUUUUCUGCUCUUCCUUCUGUGGCUCUCGAUCCAUAUGGUGAUGCCCCUAACCCUCCGUCUCCCACCUCACUCCCACCGUUAU
rnacentral:lncRNA from 1 species